UACGUAGGGUGCGAGCGUUAAUCGGAAUUACUGGGCGUAAAGCGUGCGCAGGCGGUUUUGUAAGCCUGAUGUGAAAUCCCCGGGCUUAACCUGGGAAUGGCAUUUGGGACUGCAAGGCUUGAGUGCGGCAGAGGAGACUGGAAUUCCUGGUGUAGCAGUGAAAUGCGUAGAUAUCAGGAGGAAUACCGAUGGCGAAGGCAGGUCUCUGGGCUGACACUGACGCUCAUGCACGAAAGCGUGGGGAGCAAACAGG
rnacentral:rRNA from 1 species